rnacentral:rRNA from 1 species
UGCAAGUCGAGGGGUAACGGGGUGCUUGCACCGCCGACGACCGGCGCACGGGUGCGUAACGCGUAUGCAACCUACCUUUUACAGGGGGAUAGCCCAGAGAAAUUUGGAUUAAUAUCCCAUAGUAUUAUUGGAUGGCAUCAUUUAAUAAUUAAAGAUUUAUCGGUAAAAGAUGGGCAUGCGUUCUAUUAGCUAGAUGGUGUGGUAACGGCAUACCAUGGCAACGAUAGAUAGGGGUCCUGAGAGGGAGAUCCCCCACACUGGUACUGAGACACGGACCAGACUCCUACGGGAGGCAGCAGUGAGGAAUAUUGGACAAUGGGCGGGAGCCUGAUCCAGCCAUGCCGCGUGCAGGAAGACUGCCCUAUGGGUUGUAAACUGCUUUUAUACGGGAAGAAACACUCCCUCGUGAGGGAAUUUGACGGUACCGUAAGAAUAAGGAUCGGCUAACUCCGUGCCAGCAGCCGCGGUAAUACGGAGGAUCCAAGCGUUAUCCGGAAUCAUUGGGUUUAAAGGGUCCGUAGGUGGACGAUUAAGUCAGAGGUGAAAUCUUGCAGCUCAACUGUAAAAUUGCCUUUGAUACUGGUUGUCUUGAGUUAUUAUGAAGUGGUUAGAAUAUGUAGUGUAGCGGUGAAAUGCAUAGAUAUUACAUAGAAUACCAAUUGCGAAGGCAGAUCACUAAUAAUAUACUGACACUGAUGGACGAAAGCGUGGGUAGCGAACAGGAUUAGAUACCCUGGUAGUCCACGCCGUAAACGAUGGUUACUAGCUGUUCGGUCGCAAGACUGAGUGGCUAAGCGAAAGUGAUAAGUAACCCACCUGGGGAGUACGUUCGCAAGA